CAGCCGCCGCGGUAAUACGUAGGGUGCGAGCGUUAAUUGGAAUUACUGGGCGUAAAGCGUGCGCAGGCGGUUAUAUAAGACAGAUGUGAAAUCCCCGGGCUCAACCUGGGACCUGCAUUUGUGACUGUAUAGCUAGAGUACGGUAGAGGGGGAUGGAAUUCCGCGUGUAGCAGUGAAAUGCGUAGAUAUGCGGAGGAACACCAAUGGCGAAGGCAAUCCCCUGGACCUGUACUGACGCUCAUGCACGAAAGCGUGGGGAGCAAACAGGAUUAGAUACCCCUGUAGUCCCUGUCUCUUAUAC
rnacentral:rRNA from 1 species